CAUGGGCUCUCCGGCAGCUUCACACACGUUUAUGAUCUUCUGGUGAUUUGAUUCACAAGCGGGGCAGCAUGCAACUCAUCUGCUAUGAACGCGCAAAGGAUUUUAUCGUAUUGGUAAGUGAGCUGAUCGUUGAUUCCAUCUGGCGGAAGCGAGCCGGUUGUUUCCUCUGACAUCUCAAUCGGUGGCAAGCGAUCCAUGGCGAAUUGGCGCUGGCUAAGUACAGCUAAGGUUUCCAUCAAUUUUUUAUUUUUUUUGCGGAUGCAUCGAACACCGGCCGGCCAACCAGCGUGCGUCUUCCGAAUGUUGACGUGGCAUACUGGUGGCGAUGACGCCUCCCGUCGCAUGGAUUACUGCAACUUCUCUCAUGGACGUCGACGACCACAAUCGUGUUGCUUCGACAGUGUUUCUUUAUUUUCUGUCUAUGAGCCACAUACUAUGGACACCAGAUCUAGAUGCUUGGAAUUGAAUUGUACACUUUUUCGUGGAUUAGACUCCUUUUAAUUCAUGUAUUUCCUUAAGAAACUAUAUACUCCUUUUGUAGUAGUAUAUACCCAUCA